CAUGCAGCCUGUCAUCCGAAGCUAACCUACUAAAUGUGUCUACUGCGUCUGUUUUUAUUUUCAGCAGUGGGCGAUGCGGACGAUGCUGAAUUAACAGCACAGCAUUGUCAGUAGCAGGUGAUUCAGUCAAAUUACUCUGGUGAAAGUGAAUGUUAUGCUAAUGCAAUAGGUGUCCACACAUGGGCUGUGGAAGUAGGUGUCUGCAGGAAAUGACUAAGGACAUCCACCUACAACGUGUCUAUAUCUGUGCUGCCUUCAAAUGUUGGUGUGAGUUAAUGGUAUGACAUGCAUGAGAAGUGCUUUUUUCGGCUUUUGACAUUUUUUGGUGUGCUUGCAUCAUCAAAUGGCCUGAAAUGUGGAGAAACAUGUAACAGCACCACCGUCAGCAUUACUCUGGGCUCCAGCGUGUGGCUCCCAUGCCUCCUUCAGAAGACGAACCAAACAGACGAAGCGAUAUGGAGCCAGAAUUCCAGCCUCCUGAGCAUCAGGCCUGAAGGAAACAUCACCUUUGAGGAUCCCAGAGGUGGCAGAGUGGUAGUGUUCCCCUACCUGUUUAACACAGGAAACUUCUCCAUCCUCAUUCACGAGCUGAAGGCCUCCGACGUGGGCAUGUACUGCUGCCGGCUGAGCCAGGAGUGCCACAAAGUGGAGCUUUUGCACAGUAGAGAUGCACAGGGGCACGAUUGGAGUUUACUGUGGUAUAUUGUUGCUGGAAUAGGAGUCAUCAUUCUGCUCGUGAUCACAUGUAGCAUCAUCUAUGAAUUCAGAGGAGUGUGUCUAAAAAGAUCAACAGAUUCUUAUUACGUCAACUCGACAGAAGUCCAGGGAGCCAAGAACAAAGAGAGGAAAGAGCCUAACGCAGAGAGAGAGGAGAAUGAUAGUCACUAUGAAGACAUGGAUGGAGAGGCGCAUGGGAGGAUUACGAAAACAUGCAAGGAGAAGAGCGUGACGGCCAAAAUGAAGACACGGACGGAGACGAGGACAAUUACGUCAACGCUGAAAGGGGACCGUGUGUAGGCCAGUACAGUGAUUCUGAGAGGACAGAACCGGACAGGCACCAUAGGCAGACAGGUCAUCGUAUUAGUACAACUGUCUAUGAUAAUGACGAGCAUGAUCCCCACCCUGUUCGAAUAAGGCCGCAACCUCAAAGCAGUGCUUUCAGAGAAUGCCUAAUCAGUCAAGCUUGAGUCCAUCAUACUAUGCCAACCAGUCAGAAAUCGACAAGGUUAGCAGUGCUGGCAAGAGGAAAAAGCAUCGCAAGAAAAAAAAACAAUCUCCUGCAGAGUAUCAGUUCAGAAAUCCAAUAUACGGAGACAGCAGUAUGGUGCCCAGAACAUAGACACUCUCGUUGGAAUGUAUUGAAGAUAUGGCUGUAGUUUAAGUAUUAUAUGAUGACAAUUAUUAUUCCAGUGCAUUUGCAAGGGCAAAGAAAAUAACUGCCAGCAUCUGAGUGCUCUCUACCCUGAACGAAAAGACCGGCUUGUCCCUGGUCAACACCACCGAUCUUCCAAGCAUCAUUAUGACUGAAGACCGCAGCCCUGCACAGCUCUAGCUGCCUGGAUCUCACUCUGCAUCCAUCGGCUGUCACCAUCUGUGCGGGCUAGCAUGAGCAUCUGUCAUUGAUUGUGCAUUCUCCUCUAGAUCUGAUGCUGUAUCGUGAAAUAUUAGAAUCCAGGUUCAUAAUAAAAUGGUAUUUCACAAAAAA